CAGCAGCCGCGGUAAGACAGAGGGUGCAAACGUUGUUCGGAAUUACUGGGCGUAAAGCGUGUGUAGGCGGCUUCGCAAGUCGGAUGUGAAAGCCCCGGGCUCAACCCGGGAAGUGCACUCGAUACUGCGGAGCUAGAGUGUCGGAGAGGUUGGUGGAAUUCUCGGUGUAGAGGUGAAAUUCGUAGAUAUCGAGAGGAACACCGGUGGCGAAGGCGGCCAACUGGACGAACACUGACGCUGAGACACGAAAGCGUGGGGAGCAAACAGGAUUAGAUACCCCAGUAGUCCCUGUCUCUUAUAC
rnacentral:rRNA from 1 species